AGAGUUUGAUUAUGGCUCAGGAUGAACGCUGGCGGCGUGCCUAACACAUGCAAGUCGAACGGGGUUGACUUACGGAAGUUUUCGGAUGGAAGUGAGUCAACUUAGUGGCGGACGGGUGAGUAACGCGUGGGCAACCUGCCCCAUGCCGGGGGAUACCGCCUGGAAACAGGCGCUAAUACCGCAUAAGCGCAUACAGCCGCAUGGCAGUAUGCGGAAAGCUCCGGCGGCAUGGGAUGGGCCCGCGCCCGAUUAGCCAGUUGGCGGGGUAACGGCCCACCAAAGCUACGAUCGGUAGCCGGCCUGAGAGGGCGGACGGCCACAUUGGGACUGAGACACGGCCCAAACUCCUACGGGAGGCAGCAGUGGGGAAUAUUGCACAAUGGGGGAAACCCUGAUGCAGCAACGCCGCGUGGGUGAAGGAGCGUUUCGGCGCGUAAAGCCCUGUCAGCGGGGAAGAAGAAAGACGGUACCCGACCAAGAAGCCCCGGCUAACUACGUGCCAGCAGCCGCGGUAAUACGUAGGGGGCGAGCGUUAUCCGGAAUUACUGGGUGUAAAGGGAGCGUAAACGGCGAGGUAAGCCUGAAGUGGAAGCCCGCGGCCCAACCGCGGAACUGCUUUGGGAACUGUUUUGCUGGAGUAUGGGAGGGG
rnacentral:rRNA from 1 species